rnacentral:rRNA from 1 species
AUUGAACGCUGGCGGCAUGCCUUACACAUGCAAGUCGAACGGUAACAGGUCUUCGGAUGCUGACGAGUGGCGAACGGGUGAGUAAUACAUCGGGACGUGCCUAGUAGUGGGGGAUAACUACUCGAAAGAGUGGCUAAUACCGCAUGAGAUCUACGGAUGAAAGCAGGGGAUCGCAAGACCUUGUGCUACUAGAGCGGCCGAUGGCAGAUUAGGUAGUUGGUGGGAUAAAAGCUUACCAAGCCGACGAUCUGUAGCUGGUCUGAGAGGACGGUCAGCCACACUGGGACUGAGACACGGCCCAGACGCCUACGGGAGGCAGCAGUGGGGAAUUUUGGACAAUGGGCGCAAGCCUGAUCCAGCAAUGCCGCGUGCAGGAUGAAGGCCUUCGGGUUGUAAACUGCUUCUGUACGGAACGAAAAGCCCUGGGUUAAUACCCUGGGGUCAUGACGGUACCGUAAGAAUAAGCACCGGCUAACUACGUGCCAGCCGCCGCCGUAAGAC